AUGGUUGUCUCCAUGUGGCAUUUCGCCAACCGUGUUCGACCUGACAUAUCACUCCAAGAGGUGUUCGAGACGGUGUGUGAGGGCACAUGUUUUGCCGGGCCUGUCUGGGAUCACAUCCUUGGAUACUGGAGGGUAAGCAAUGCAGAGCCAAACAGGGUGCUUUUCUUGACCUACGAGCAGAUGCAUCAGGAUCCGGUUGACAAAGUCAGGAAGCUAGCUCAAUUCCUCGGGAGACCAUUUUCCGACACAGAGGAAGAGGCCGGUGUCGUUGCAGAGAUCGUUGAGCUUUGUAGCUUGGAGCAUCUGAAAAAUCUAGAGGCCAACAAGAAAGGCUCCCAGGGGGUGUUCUUGAAGUUCCCAUAUGACUCCUAUUUCCGGAAGGGGGUGGUGGGAGAUUGGGUGAACCAUUUGACACCUGAGAUGGCUAAAUGUCUAGAUGCGAUAUUCGAGGAGAAGUUCAAAGGAUCAGGCUUCACUCUGCUGUGA
rnacentral:rRNA from 1 species